UGCUCGAGUGGCGAACGGGUGAGUAACACGUGAGUAACCUGCCCUUGACUUUGGGAUAACUUCAGGAAACUGGGGCUAAUACCGGACAGGAGCUCCUGCUGCAUGGUGGGGGUUGGAAAGUUUCGGCGGUUGGGGAUGGACUCGCGGCUUAUCAGCUUGUUGGUGGGGUAGUGGCUUACCAAGGCUUUGACGGGUAGCCGGCCUGAGAGGGUGACCGGCCACAUUGGGACUGAGAUACGGCCCAG
rnacentral:rRNA from 1 species